CAUGCAUUGUACUCCGUGGGGAACAAUCUAUUGCCAUAUGUUCAGAAUGUGCCAAAUUAUAUUUGGAGUUUCGUGCAAAGACUCCUCUGCUUAAGGAUCUCUCCUUUAGGUGCCAUGCUGCCCGUACGUUGGCCCUGGGAUAGAAAAUGGAAAGGUAUCACUUAAUUGUAGCUUUUCCUUUGUGGGAACAUCACGAUCAAUUUUAUUUUUUCAGAUCCCGGCAAAUGACCAGGAGCCACAUCAUGUUGUGCUCCAGUACCUGUCCAAAAGAGCAAUCCUGUAUCCUACAACAUAUCACACGGGUCCAUGUUCAUGAAUCCUAUCAUCACAAGAGUCUGGCAUGUUGAACAUGUCCUUAGAGCCACUUACAGCCACAUACUGUGCAUGGGCAGGGAAGCGGUGCUUCUUACCAAAGGGGAUUUCGAGAUGGCCACCACCAG